rnacentral:lncRNA from 1 species
AAACAACCAAAAACCAUGUUUAGAGAAGUUUCACAAGUGCAUCCAGGGAAAGCUCAAAAAGGAUUCACACCUACAAACAAAACAGAAGGGGCUUCAUCGCUAAAGAAGUGCCCACCUCCAAUGCUAAGAAACACAGUGACCAAGGUCUCCUAGCAGGGAGAAAGAGCAUGAAACUGCCUUUGCUCCUUCCUAUGAGUCACCCUCUUUUACUGAGAAGGGACAGAAUGCUUCGUACUAAAGCUGCACAGACUUUGGUGUGGCUUCAGUUUUUCCACCUAUGAUAAAGCAUGGUAUUCCAUGGGACUCUGAUAGCAGAUGCAGUAAACAGAUGUGUUCCAACACAGAAACUGGGUGGAAAACUCCAUCAAGGCUUCAGGACACACCGAUCUAUUGGCUUGUCAGCUCUCCCUGGACAACUCAGCACCACCCCUGUCCUUGAAAACAACGCAGACUCUCCUGAACCCUACUGUAUGUCAUGUACUCAAUCUCCCCCAGGCAGGUGACUCAAUCAUGUGUCAGGUAACAAAGAGAGAGUGGAUAAUCCUACGGUAACUAAAAACAUUUAGAGAGGACUCCUAUAGAGAGACAUAUUCCAAGUUAGCACACAGAGGGCAUCGUUACAUGAGCUGACAUCCCCUUCACCAUGAAAUGGGGGAUAGACUGAGAGGUACCCUCUUCAACCAGUAUGAAUAUUCCAUGUCCAUUAGCCACAGUGAACCCUUGCACAUGACUCCUAUGGCUUCAAACAGGACAGAAGGCAAGAGACCAGUCACUACAGAGACUCCUCAAAUUUUUCAAGAACUAGGUCAGAAUCUAUUAUAGUUCAGUAGUAGCUUAUUUAGCACGCUCAUCGUCUGGGAUUGAUACCUGCUACCACAUACAUGAGAAAAUAAGUAGCUACAACCUAAAAGAAUCUAUGAGAACCACCUCCAUCUAGGUAGGUAAACUAGGUAAACAUGUUCAUGUAAACACUGACCAGGGCUGGGGACAGGGACAAGGAUCCAGCUAAAUACUGACGCAUGAACCACUUUUUCCUUCCUUGCUGACUUCAUUACCAAUUCUAUUAAGACAGUUUGUCUAGAAUCCCCCUUACCCUUAAUGGUUUUGUUUCAUUAAGUUUCCAUCUCUGGGAUAGAUCCUGAUGCUUGGUUAUUAGUUCUCAUUUCUCCCUGUUGCUACCCACACCUCUUGUUAGAGUCCAGAGUAAAGUCUGUCUUAGUAAUUUCCCUCUUGUGGGCCUAUCUUCAUUCCAG